CCCUUAGAUGUCCGGGGCCGCACGCGCGCUACACUGAAGUAAUCAGCGUGCAUACGAAACCCGCUCUUAGCAGAGUGGGCAACCAAAUGAACCCAUUUCGUGAUGGGGAUUGAGCAUUGUAAUUAUUGCUCAUGAACGAGGAAUUCCCAGUAAGCGCGAGUCAUCAGCUCGCGUUGAUUACGUCCCUGCCCUUUGUACACACCGCCCGUCGCUACUACCGAUUGGGAAAAUUUUAGAGAGUCCUGGACUGAUGAUUGUUCGGCUUCACGGCCUUACUUUCGUCGGGAAAGAAUUCGAUAAUAUUUUUCUAGAGGAAGUAAAAGUCGUAACA
rnacentral:rRNA from 1 species